GCGCAUAUAUUUUUGCUGCAAUUUGCUACGGCCCCUAUAAUGGAAUUAUACCACAAAAUAGUACUUUUAUUUGAAUUGUGAUGUUUUAUACGAUAAAUAACACCAAGAUUGAAAAAUUCUUAAGCAUACAAGUCUUGCACAAUGAAAAUAUUUAAAUUACCUUUGCAAACCUAACUUAACAUACUAUGUCACUUUAUGUUUCUCUUUAUAUAAGUAAUGUACAAUUUUCAUUAUUUAUAAUAUAAUAAAUUAUGUUGAUUUAGGGCCACUUUAACCCUGCAAGAAGUAUAAAUGUAUACUUAAAACAAACAGUUUAAGAAAUUGUGAUUUUAAACAUAGCAUUAAGAAAAUAUCAUCCAAAUAUAAAAAAAAGUUGCUUUUUACUGAUUCUUGAAUUUUUUCAGUUUCGUUUCAUUUCUUUCAAGUGAAUUUGAAGGAAUGUUUUGUACAUAAUUGUUCAAACAUAUAUUUAGAAAUCCUAACGACACUCAUGUUUAUUAUCUUGUACAGCAAAUUACAUUCACAGCAUCUUUUAUUAAUACGUACAUACUAUAUUACAAAAAUAACUGAGAUGAGCCUCAGUUAUUUUUGUAAGAAGCUGAUGGUGUAGAUGAAAUGCUUUUCGUACUUUUCAGAUAUAAUAGUCUGGAAAAGUAAAUAUGCAACUGAUAUCAAUGCCACCAUAUUUUCUGCUGGGUCUUUGAAACCUCCCAAAUUUUACAGUAUCAAUAUAUACAUAAUUUGUUUCCACUAAUGUUCCAUUUUUUCCGCCAAGAUGCAGAAAUCUAUGCAAGCACUUUAGUUAGUUUCAAUAUUACUUGCACAAUAAACAGCAAUUGUAUGUGAAAACUUCUGCAACAGUGUCUGAAACUGCAACCAAUUUCACCGACCAUUGGAAAUAAUUUCAUUGAUUAAUACUUUUAUGAACUUCUUUUACAUCUGAAACUUCUGUAAUAAACUGUUUUAGAGAGAUGUAUCGAUAGGAAUUAGAAUGAAGCUGAAGAAUAGACUUCAAUUAAAUUUUUUUUCUUUUAUAUUCCAGGAUUUGCUGUACUGAAAUAUAGUAACUGCCUUCAGACAUCUGAUGAAAAUCUGUACUCAAAUUUGUGAGUUUGAAAUUUACACGUUAAAAUUAAUUUUGACCUAAUUACUAAAAGUUCUUAAUUCUAUCGAUGAUAGCAUAUAUAGUGUGAAAAAGAGCAAAAAAUAUUUACUUGCGUAAACAUUUGAAAUGACUUUUUUUAUUAUCGUUGUUAUUAAUCUCACUGAUAACACCUACGCUAAUUCAAAUGAAACGCGAAACGCUGGCGAGAAAUUACAAUAUGUUUACCAUCAUUUGUUGGCGAUAAAAAGAAACGGCGCAUGCGCAGUUCGUUCAAAAGAUUUUCUCAUAGGGAGCCGUUCACAGCCAUCCCUGUUUUGAGCCGCUAGUCUAGUAUUCUACUGCAGUAGCGUCCUGCCGCAUUCUUUGGCCUAGGUAAAGCAAUUUAGGAUGCAGACGCUACUAACGAUGAGUAAAAGGGAAACGUUAAAACUGAGGAAGGUUAUACAGGGAAGAAGUUUUUUUUUAAGUAUCUUAAAAGUAAGUUUCGGUAUUUUUAUAAAACAGAUAAAAGAUAAACCCGGAUAGUUGAAGGAAGGAAGUACGAAAUGUAGAAUAUUUUCGAGCCCAUCAAUGAAGAUGUUCGAUUUCGAAUGAUGAGCGCAAUUAAGAUGGUUUGUGGAGAGCAUCAAAAUGGCAGGAUUAAUUUGAAAAGAAGGUUCUUUUUCUGUUCACUAAAUAUAAACAGAAUAUUUGGAAAGAACUGAGCCUAUUGACUAAGGAUAUUCAAGGUUGACAGGUCAUCAAGAUGCGAAAGCUAAAGUUUUGUAUCUUUCUGUAUGUGGGAAAGAAGACCAGACCUUGAUUAAUUUUGGGAUCAUUCUUCAGCAUUAAAAUCAAUUAGCUGUAUGGAUAGGUUAUUUGGCUGCAACAACUUGGCUUUAUAAUGUAUUAGGGGCAGCCUAGCAAUAGCAGAAUUGUACUUUGUGAUAGUUCGAAAAAUAUCAUUAAGAUGCAUUUCAGUUUUAUCUUUCAGAUGCUGCAUGUAUUAUAAUUUUAGAUUUAAUGAUAUAAUUCUUUGUUUUUGUACUAGACUGCUCUACUUACUUGGCUUUUGGAAUAUUUGACUAAAGCUGUAUAAUUCAGCAUAUAGAUAAUUAUACAAGAAGUAAUUAAAAAGCAUGAAUAUGAAUUGCAAAUUAAUUCCAGUCUUGUAGUUUUUAGUAUAAAAUAUCUAAGAAAAAUUUAUUGCUUUAUUUCAAUUAUUUCUGUUUGUAAGAUGUAUUUCUCAGUAAUCUCUUAUGUAAUACAAAUCAAGGUACUAUUCUUAAAAGUACAUAUGAUGAAGGAGACUUUUUCUUAUAGUUUCUAAUAAAAUUCCUUUUUCACUGGUCCAUGAAAUAACAGUUCAAGAUUGUUCUGAAAACCCUGUACAUUGUUAAUAUAUGAGUAAACUUCUGCAUGUUUCAUAUAGGUUUCAUAUAUGUAUAUAAAGUAGUAGUUAAUGUGUUUCCUAAAAUUUGAGUUUUCUUUUGGAAGUUAUCAAAAAUCCAUAGAUUCAAAAGAAAAUGCUUGUAUAAAGGAACCUGUCUAAUAACUAGAAAUCAAAUAUUUGGUUGCAUAUUUGUUUUUUAUGGUACUUGCGUAUUUUUCCAUUGACCAUGAAAGUUGCUUGCGGCAAUCAUUCUGGCAGAAGUUCGAAGAAAUGCGUCGCUCCUGCUUUAGUUAUAUUAUCACAAAUUGCUUUUUAUUUAAUAAGGUAGUUAAUAGAUUGCAUUUAAAUUAAUUAGAUAAUCAACAGUUCAAUAAGUUUAUAAUAUAGCUUAUAAAGACCUUAAAUGAAUACAAGUUCAAACUUUGAGAUUUUCUAACAAGUAAAGAUUUAAUCAUUCUUAACAGCAUUUAAAUAGCAAUAUUUGGUACUUUUCCGUUUUGCCGGCACAAGCGAUAAAGUUGCCAAUAAUGGUAAAACCGAUGCCAAACGGAAUAUUCUCGCUGGUAACCUUUUACGCCUCAUUUUCAAAACAAGUCGCAGC
rnacentral:lncRNA from 1 species